UACGAGGGGGGCGAGCGUUGUUCGGAAUUAUUGGGCGUAAAGGGUGCGUAGGCGGUUUGGUAAGUCUUAUGUGAAAUCUAUGGGCUCAACUCAUAGACUGCAUGAGAAACUGCAGGGCUUGAGUAUGGGAGAGGUGAGUGGAAUUCCUGGUGUAGCGGUGAAAUGCGUAGAGAUCGGGAGGAACACCAGUGGCGAAGGCGGCUACCUGGACCAGCACUGACACUGAGGCACGAAAGCGUGGGGAGCAAACAGG
rnacentral:rRNA from 1 species